CUCAGGAAUGAAGCUUUUGUAGCAGGUGGACAGAGGCCACUGGAGGGGGCUUUCUUGAUCAUCUGCUUUAAGGGAUAAACUUUGCUUGUCCCCUCCUCCAACUAAGGAAGGUGUCAGUAGAGGAGAAGAAAGCUAGUCUGGAGUUGUGGGGGCUAAGAAUUGACAAAUGGAUAUCGUGGUUUUGAGAGCUAGCCAAUUCCAGGGAAUGAAAGAGAAAGAAUGUCCAGGCGAGAAAUAAUGAUGGAAGAAGGGAAUGUGAAGAGAGAAUGAAAACAAGAGAAUAAAGGAACCAGGGAAGAAGCAGAUCCCAAAAAUGUUGUGAAGUUUUGAGGGGGUUGAUGAGCUUCUAUUUCACGUUAUGAGAUGAUAAAACUAUUGUGUUAGGAGAAGAAAUAGGCUAUAUAUUUGAAUCAUUCAUAAUAGUUUUUUGCCAACAAAAUACUAUGUUAUUAACUAAACAUUGACCUUACGGCAAAUUAAAUACAGUAUUAACAAGAAAGAAGAAGAGAAGGGAACCAUGGGUAAUGUACAACAAUUUGAACGCAUUUCAGUGAAUCACAGAGGCACAUAGGAUUGGGUGAGGAAAGGAAAGAGAGUAAGGCUAGAAGAUUAAUAAUAAACCCUCUUUGUAAAACACAGUAUUUUAAAAUGUGCGUAAUACUGAAUCACCUGGGUGUCUUACUGGACAUUUGCUGAAGGUUGCUUUGUCUGUGUGUGUGUGUGUGUGUGUGUGUGUGUGUGUAUUAUUGGUUCUGGGAAAUAAACAUGGAAAAUAUUUUCAGAGAUGAGAACUAAUAUGUCAAACCUUAGACUCUAUACA